GUUCUUCACUAGAUGCACAAAGAGAAUCACUACUAAAAUUGGAACGAUACAGAGAAGAUUAGCACGGCCUCCUGUGCGCAAGGACAACACGCAAAAUCGUGAAGCGCCAAUACUUAUU
rnacentral:snRNA from 1 species